rnacentral:lncRNA from 1 species
GUCAAGUGCAAGAGGUUGAGUCUGCAGCUAGACAAGAGCAGUAACCCUUAUUAUUGGGAUGGUCACCACCCGGUGGAUGCUGGUUGGUUGGCCAGAGUUUCUCAUCAAGGAGUACAUGCUGUUUGCUCCCCAGAUGGACAGCCUGGAUGAGCUACAAAUCCACAGAGCCUGGGACACAAGAAAUUCCAGAACCUGCCUUAGCCCAGCCAAUUCUCUUCUCUGGGAAGAGAUUCAAAGGAAUAAUGAGUUAUGAGAAAUAGUGACAUGUAGAAAAUAAGAGUGGCACUGUAUCAUUAGCUGACCUUGUAUUUAAAACUCCAGUGUACAGUCAUUGGGUAAAAUAAUUGGCACAAGAGGCAUGAAGUGAACAUUAAAGUGGAAGGAUUAUCUUCUUAGCCCCUGCCCAUACCUUGCAAUCUCAUCACUGGAGAUGAGAGGACCCCCUCACUAGAAUGUUGGCUUCAUAAAGACUGGGAUCCUAUCUUAUUCACAUAUUUCCAUAUUCCCAGAGAUAGAACCUGGCGUCUAAUGAGUGCUCAAUAUUCGUUGCAUUCAUCUAUCCAUCCACCCAUUCAAUAACUCCUUCUAACAAUAUCUUUGCCAGGCACUGGGAUAGAGCAGGGAGGAAAUAUGGCCAUUUGCAUUCUGAAUUAACAGUCACCAUCAGAAACAGACUUUUCCCACUGUAUGAUGAGCUCUCGGGAGAGGAAGGACAGGUCCCUGUGGGAAUGCAUAUGAAAGUUCCCUCAUCCAGGGCUCUGGGGAGCCUUCCCAGAAGCAGUGGUGCCAGCAAAGAUCAUUUAUGGGCUUAGACUAGGGGGUAUGACAUUUGUAAACUAAAAAUCCUCUGUUGGUGGACUCGCAGGCAGUAUCACGGUAGCAUAAAUGCAGAACUAUAUGUUCAGUAUAAUAGUCUAUAGUUAGUUGGCAAAUUUAAAUGGUGAUAAAGCCUCAUUAAUAUGUAUGACCCACAGUUUUCCUAAAUUUGGUAGAAUGAAAAGCUGGCAUAUAUGAUAAUUUUUAAAACCUUACAUCCAUGCCAUUCAUUUGUGUAAUCUGGCAUAUAAUACCUGAUUAUCAUAAUUUUGCCUAAAUAAUGAAUAAAAACGAAAAGGAAAAAUUAAAACCUUUCA